AUGUUUAAAUGCAAAAUAUGUUAAACCUUGCAAAACCGUAGCUGAAGCUUUAAAAAAUAAGCCAGAAGGUAUGGAGAAAGAAGAUUGGGAAUGGUUGACUAAACAUUUUUUUACUAAGGAUUUUCAGAAAAUAAGCUCUCAAGCCUCUCAAAACAGAGUUAAAUCUUCAAUGCCUCAUCGUACGGGUAGUAAACCUCAUAGGCAGAUUAUUUAUGAAAUGGGAGGAAAAGAAGGUAAUCCACCUGAUAUGGGAAUACUUUUUUUUGAAACUUGAAAAAAGGAUGGAAAGUUGGUUGAGCCUGAAACUGAAGAAAAACAUCUUCAAAUUGUAAAGACUAUUCAAGCUGAGCCAACACUUUCUACUAUUGAGGUAAUUGAAAAAUGUUUUGGAGCACAACAUCACAGCAAUGUGUUUGGCUAUGGGGGUGGAAUUAAACGGAAAAACUUCAAAGAUCCUAGACAAAAGAAGAUGGAUGAACUUCAAGCCAAACUUCUUAAUAAGGAUGAAGAAAAUCGCAUCCUCAAGAGGCACAUCACAAAGAUUGAAGAGAGAUUGCUAAGGAUUGAACAUUUUAUGCAACAAAACCCAAAUGUGUCCACUGAAUUUCCUUUAUCAGAACUUGAUCAGGAACUUCAUAAGAAUGAUGUUUAAAAGCUAGACAACAUAAAAGCAUUUUGGCAACUUUUUUGUUGGAUAGGAGAGUAAAAUCUUUAUCUUUAGAAGGAUGCUCACUACUAACAACAAAAGGUUUGGAAAUUCUGUGUAACCUUCGGCACCUGCAUGUGAUUCUUCCUUGUAACAACUUUGAGUAAAAUUCUGUGUAACAAAUUCAAAAUUUGAGUAAAAUUUGCUUGUAACAA